rnacentral:rRNA from 1 species
GCGCGAAAAUUUUGCAAUGCUCGCAAGAGUGACAGAGCAAGCUAGAGUGCGUUUUCUUUUAGAAAACGCUUUUGCCUUGUGUAAAUAGCAAGGCGAAUAAGGGAUGGGCAAGACCGGUGCCAGCAGCCGCGGUAAUCCCGGCGUCCCAAGUGGCACUCGCAUUUAUUUGGUCUAAAACAUUCGUAGCCGGCUUCGUAAGUCUUGUGUUAAAUUUCAAGGCUUAACCUUGUACAGGCACAAGAUACUGCAAAGCUAGGGACUGGAAGACGUAAGAAGUACGAUAGGGGUAGCGGUAAAAUGUUUUAAUCCUUAUCGGACUAACAAUGGCGAAGGCAUCUUACGAGGACAGAUCCGACGGUGAGGAAUGAAAGCUAGGGGCGCAAAACGG